GAAGGGGGCUAGCGUUGCUCGGAAUUACUGGGCGUAAAGGGCGCGUAGGCGGAUAUUUAAGUUAGAGGUGAAAGCCCAGGGCUCAACCCUGGAAUAGCCUUUAAUACUGGAUAUCUUGAGUUCGGGAGAGGUGAGUGGAACUCCGAGUGUAGAGGUGAAAUUCGUAGAUAUUCGGAAGAACACCAGUGGCGAAGGCGACUCACUGGCCCGAUACUGACGCUGAGGCGCGAAAGCGUGGGGAGCAAACAGGAUUAGAUACCCUGGUAGUCCACGCUGUAAACGAUGAGUGCUAGUUGUCGGCAUGCAUGCAUGUCGGUGACGCAGCUAACGCAUUAAGCACUCCGCCUGGGGAGUACGGUCGCAAGAUUA
rnacentral:rRNA from 1 species